GCCGUCCGCCACGAGAAUGCGAACUUGCGAGGUGCGGUCGCGAUAGGCUUCCAGUUCAAUUUACUCAGUUUCGUCGCCUGCUUCAGCAUCAUUGGCUUUAGUCGGCCUGAGGAACGCAAAGGCGCAGUCGUUGUGCGCGCCAAGGACGUGGCCACGAAGUAUUGAAGGCGUGGAGAUUACCUCGGUCGCGUUCGGGCGCUGAUCUUCCUGUUAACGGUCGUUUUUGGCCUGUUGAGAGGCUAAUCCUUGCCGGGGACGCGGAUCGUAUUCCGACGAUCCAUACCCCAUGGCCGGAGCACAGCAGCGACGCGCUUGAGGGAUGCAGGAACCUCCCGCGCUUGCAAAAUCAGAUCCAAUUCGAGCAGCUUGAGCAUAGGGGAGCGAAUCAAGAGGCCUCGGGGCCCGACCAAGGGGGAGCACACAUGA
rnacentral:misc_RNA from 1 species